rnacentral:rRNA from 1 species
AAUCAACGCUGGCGGCGUGCCUAACACAUGCAAGUCGAACGCGAAAGGGACUUCGGUCCUGAGUAGAGUGGCGAACGGGUGAGUAACACGUGGGUGAUCUACCUUCAAGUGGGGGAUAAC